AAACUUUUUUCUUGGUUUAAUAUUGCAUCUGAUUGCAUUUUCAAACACAAAUUAUUGCAAAAUACAAAGCAUACAUGUAUACAAAAUGUAUCUUAAUAGGGCAAUACGACCUGUGAAUGACAGAAAAGUUGGUCUCAUACAACCUUAAUUGUACUAAAGUUAUUAAAUUAUUACAAUUGCUUGACAACCUGAAUUGUAAUAACGCCCGCAAGUGUAAUAAACUUAUUUCUUGGCUUAAAAUUGCAUCUGAAUGCAUUUUCAAACACAAAUUAUUGCAAAAUAAAGUGUAUACAUGAAUUUAAAAGUGUAUCUCAAUAAGGUAAAACGACCUAUGAAUGACGAAAAGGUUGGUCUCAUACAACCUCAAUUGUAAUAAAGUUAUUACAUUAUUACAAUCGCUGUCGCCCUGAAUUUUGAUAACGCCCGAAAGUGUAAUAAACUCAUUUCUUGGUUUACAAUUGCAUUUGAUCACAUAUUCAAACAAUGAUUAUUGCAAAAUAUAAUGCAUACAUGUAUAUAAAAUGUAUCUUAAUAGGACAAUACGACAUGUGAAUGUAAAAAAGGUUGGUCUCAUACAACCCCAAUUGUAAUAAAGUUAUUACAUUUUUACAAUUGCUUGACAAGCUGAAUUGUAAUAAUGUCCGAAAGUGUAAUACACUUAUUUCUUGGUUAAAAUUGCAUCUGAUCGAAUUUUCAAACACAAAUUAUUGCAAAAUAUAGUGUAUACAUGUUUAUGAAAGUGUACCUUUCGGGUGUGAUUACAAUUCAGGUUGUCAAGCAACUGUAAUAAUGUAAUAACUUCAUUACAAUUGAGUAUGUAUGAGAACACAUUUUUUGCCAUUCCUAGUCAUAUUUCCUUAUUAAAAUACACUUUUAUAUACAUGUAUACACUAUAUUUUGCAAUAAUUUGUGUUUGAAAAUGCGAUCAGAUGCAAUUUUAAACCAAGAAAUGAGUUUAUUACACUUUUGGGCGUUAUUAUAAUUCAGGGCGAUAAGCAAUUGUAAUAAUGUAAUGAGUUUAUAACAAUUGUGUUGGUAUGAAAACACUUUUUCGUCAUUCAUAGGUCGUAUUGCCAUAUAAAUAUAAAUUUAAUAUACAUGUAUGCAUUAUAUUUUGCAAUUAUCUGUGUUUGAAAAUGCGAUCAGAUGCAAUUUUGAACCAAGAAAUAAGUUUAUUACACUUUCAGGCGUUAUUACAAUUCAGGUUGUCAAGCAAUUGUAAUAAUGUGAUAACUUUAUUACAAUUGAGGUUGUAUGAGAACACAUUUUUUGCCAUUCCUAGUGGUAUUUCCUUAAGAUACACUUUAAUAUACAUGUAUACACUAUAUUUUGCAAUAAGUUGUGUUUGAAAAUGCGAUCAGAUGCAAUUUUAAACCAAGAAAAAACAGUUUAUUACACUUUCGGGCGUUAUUACAAUUCAGGUUGUCAAGCAAUUGUAAUAAUGUAAUAACUUUAUUACAAUUAAGGUUGUAUGAGACCAAUUUUUCUGUCAUUCAUAGGUCGUAUUGCCCUAUUAAGAUACAUUUGUUAUACAUGUAUGCAUUAUAUUUUGCAAUAAUUUGUGUUUGAAAAUGCAAUCAGAUGCAAUAUUAAACCAAGAAAAAUGUUUAUUACA